rnacentral:piRNA from 1 species
UACUAUUAACUGUGUUGAUCUGUUUGCCUC